UUCGGACUGCAGGCUGCAACCCGCCUGCACGAAGCCGGAGUUGCUAGUAAUCGCGAAUCAGAAUGUCGCGGUGAAUGCGUUCCCGGGUCUUGUACACACCGCCCGUCACACCAUGGAAGUUGGGGGUGCCCAAAGCCGGCAAGCAAAUAUGCUGUCUAAGGCAAAACCAAUGACUGGGGUGAAGUCGUAACAAGGUACC
rnacentral:rRNA from 1 species